AAUGCGCCUUCAGAACAACAGAAUAUAUAAUCUGACUAAACGACUGUGUUCCUGACUGAUGUCGAAGGCUCGGGAGUACAGCAUCACUGUUCGCGACUCGAAGACUUCCGAUUUAUCCAGCGCCUGAGGAGGAAGUGCUAUUACCACAAACAGUAGCCAGACGCAUCUUUACGAACCAGAUCCUUGAGCU